AAAGCCUUUGUUCAUGAAAAACACAAACUUCCUGGUUGGGAAAAGAAAAUUUUAAUUCAUCCUUUUGACCCAAACUAGUUUGGGUUCCUAAGAUUAACCCAUGAUUUCAUUUUGCAGGUCCAAGUGAAGGGGAGUUGGAAAAUAUGCUACAUGGAUAGUGGAUGCUCAAAACAUAUGGCUGAGAACAAGGACCAAUUCCUUUCACUUGAGAACCUAAAAGGAGGUAAUGUCUCAUUUGAAAAUGGAAAGAAAGGGAGAUCAUUGGAGUUGGAAAGGUAGGAAAGAGAGACUCUCAUUCCAUUGAAAAUGUCUAUUUCAUAGAUGACUUGAAAUAUAGCAUGAUAAGUGUGUCACAACUGUGUGACAGUGGUAAUCUUGUGGCUUUCACUUCCACAAAAUGUUUUGUGAUUAGCCUUUCUACUGACAAGAUUGCUUUGCAGGAAAAGAGGGUUAACAAUAUUUACAUUGUAGAAUUGUCAACUCUCUCUGAAAAUAAACUUACUUGCUUAAGUGUGAUGAUCCCCUCCUUUGGCACAAAAGACUUGGCCAUGUCAGUCUUAAUCAUUGAACAAAUUAGUCUCCAAAGACUUGGUGAUAAGGUUACCUAAUGUCAAGUUUAAGAAAGAUAAAGUUUGUGAGGCAUGUACAAGGGGGAAACAGGUAAGGUCAUCCUUCAAACCAAAUAAAAUGGUAAGUACGUCCAAGACCUUGGAACUGGUUCAUAUGGAUCUCUGUGGUCCAAUGAGAUCCAUGAGCAGAGGUGGUAAAAGAUAUUUAAUGGUGCUUGUUGAUGAUUAUUCUAGAUUUACCGGGGUGUUGUUUCUAAUCUCUAAAGAUGAAACAUUUGAAAUGUUCACUGCUUUUGUUAGAAAAAUCCAUAAACAGUUAGGAAAUCAACUUGCAUCCAUUAGGUCUGAUCAUGAAACUGAAUUUGAAAAUGCAAAGUUUGCUGAAUUUUGUGAUGAAACUGGAAUAGAUCAUAAUUUCUCUGCCCUUAGAACUCCUCAGCAAAAUGGGCUAGUUGAAAGGAAGAACAUGACCCUUGAGGAUAUGGAAAGGACCAUGUUACUUUCGAAUUUUGUGAUGUAAAUGGAGUAGAUCAUAAUUUAUCUGCUCCUAGGACUCCUCAGCAAAAUAGGGUAGUUGAAAGGAAGAACAAGACCCUUGAGGAUAUGGAAAGGACCAUGCUUCUUUCCAGUAAACUACCUCACAGCUUCUGGGCAGAGGCUGUAAACAUUGCAUGUUAUAUAAUAAAUAGAUGCACGAUAGACCUCUUAUAGAGAAAACUCCCUAUGAGUUAAUUAAAAGGAGAAAACCAAACAUAUCCCAGCUUAGGGCUUUUGGUUGCAAGUGCUAUGUGCACAAUAAUGGUAAAGACUCCUUCGGUAAGUUUGAUCCCAGAAGUAAUGAGGGAGUGUUCUUGGGAUAUUCUACACAUAGAAAAGCGUAUAAAGUGUUUAAUAAAAGAACUCUGUGUGUAGAAGAAAGUGUACAUGUUGUAUUUGAUGAAUAUAACAUUCUUUCUGAGAGACAUGAACAUGAAGAUGAAGCCAUCGGAUGGUGAGACAAUUGACUGAAGCCACAUCACAAGUCAAGGUGAUAUCAAAGGAAGGAACAGGUGAUGGAACAGGCCCUUCCACUCAGGGAAACCUGACAGGGGGAGCCAAUAUGAGAGAAAUUGAUCAAAAUUCUCUAGAGGAACCUGCACGUGAACCUGUUCCUCUGUAGAAUAACAAUGAAGAAGCAUCCAGUAGGGACCAGAUGUUGGGUAAAUCUUACAAGUACCCGAGUUCUCAUCCCAUUGAGAACAUCAUCAAUGAUCCAACAUCUGGAGUCAAAACUAGAUCUCAACUGAAGAACCUGUGUGCAUUUGAUGCUUUUCUAUCCAUCAUUGAGCCCAAAAAUGUUGUUGAGGCUUUGCAAGAUGAAGAUUGGGUCAAUGCUGUGCAGGAUGAACUAAAUCAAUUGAGAGAAGUCAAGUUUGGAACUUGGUUCCAAGACCCAAGGACAGAUCAGUCAUUGGAACAAAAUGGGUAUUCGGGAACAAACUAGAUGAAGAUGGAACAAUUACAAUAAACAAUGCAAGGUUAGUGGUCCAGGGUUACAGUUAAGAGGAACGUAUUGACUAUGAUGAGACUAUUUCUCCAGUUGCUAGACUUGAAGCAAUUAGACUUCUCAUAGCCUUUACAACAUAAAUGGAAUUCACUCUUCAUCAGCUGGACGUCAAAAGUGCCUUCCUAAAUGGCUACCUCAAGGAAGAAGUAUUUGUUAAACAACCUCCAUGAUUUGAAAGAAUGGAGUGUCCUGAGCAUGCGUACAAGCUAGAUAAAGCCCUAUAUGGUCUCAAACAGGCCCCUAGAUCUUGGUAUGAAAGAUUGUUAAAAUUCCUACUGGAGCAUGAGUGCAAAAGAGGUAAAAUUGACAGCACUUUGUUCCUAAGGAAAAAAAGGUAAAGAUCUUCUUUUUGUACAAGUAUAUCUGGAUGGCAUAAUAUUUGGGGCCACUACAGAUAGGUUGAAUAAAGACUUUGCAAAACUAAUGGGCAGUGAGUUUGAAAUGAGUAUGAUGGGUGAACUCAACUUUUUCUUAGGUUUGCAGAUCAAACAAAGUCCAAAUGGUUCCACCAGAAGAAGUACACAAAAGAGCUAAUCAAGAAAUUUAAAAUGGAAGAAUCCAAAGAAAUAGAUACACCUAUUGCAACUGCCACAAAAUUAGACGUUGAUGAACCUAGUUCAUCAGUUGAUCAAAAGUUGAAUAGGGGUAUGAUUGGAUCACUUUUGUAUCUUACUACCAACAGACGUGACAUUGUUUUCAGUGCAGGACUUUGUGCUUGUUUUCAGGUAAAUCCAAAUGAGUCACAUCUGAUAACUGUCAAAAGAAAAUUGAGAUACUUGAAAGGCACAAUUGAUCUGUGGUAUCCCAAAGGUAGUAAUUUGGACUUAAUUAAAUAUGUUAACACUGACUAUACAAGUUUCCUAGUGGAUAGAAAAAGCACUUCAGAUAUGGCACACUUCUUGGGUUCUUGUCUUGUAUCAUGGGCUACCAAAAAGCAGAUCAAUGGCUCUCUCUACUGCUGAAGCUGAAUAUGUCGUUGCUGCUUCAUGUUAUGCUCAAUUACUGUGGAUUAAGAAACAACUGGUAGACUUUGGAAUUGAAGUGGGGUGCAUACCAAGAAUUUGUGAUAACACCAGUGCAAUUAUCAUGACAAAGAACCCUGUUCAUCAAAAAAGGACUAAGCAUAUAGAUGUUAGACACCACCUGUGAUAACACUAGUGCAAUUAGUAUGACAAAGAUCCCUAUUCAUUAUAAAAAGACUAAGCACAUAGAUGUUAGACACCACUUCUUAAGAGACAACUAUGAGAAAGGACUAAUCUUCAUAGAAUUCUGUGCUAUUGAUAAACAAAUAGCUGACAUCUUCACUAAGGCACUGAGUAGAGAAUACUUUGAAAGGAACAUGUUGUAAUUAAGGAUGAUUAAUAUCACUGCUGACAUCUUCACUAAGGCACUGAGUAGAGAAAACUUUGAAAGGAACAUGUUGGAAUUAAGGAUGAUUAAUAUCACUUAAAAGGUACAGUUCAGAUUGCACAAUAUAAUAUAAUAUAAUAUAAUAUAUAUAUAUAUAUAUAUUUAAUUUGAAGAAAAAAAAAUUUGGUUAGGAGUUCUUAAUUAAUGUAAAUAUCUAGAUUAAUUCUUACUCAGCCUCAUACUUUAACUAGUAUACUCUUGUGACAUGUAUUUAUAUAACUCAUUCAUCUCUUACAAAGUUUUCUAUUCUGACAUUUGAGGCAUAAUCAAGAGAAGUUUCACUUGAAGAACCUGGUUCAUCAAUAUAUGCUCAUGAAAAAGUUCAAGUAUGUUUCUAUACUUUAUUAGAAAAAUUAAAUUACCAAUCAUGAGCAAGAGUCCUAGAUAUACCAAACGUCUAAAAAACCCUAUCCGUUGGGCAAAUUGAACCCGUUUCAUUGAAACUAGAAGUCAAAAAAAGAAAAUAACGGGUCUUCUCCCUAAAUAUUAGCGAUCCUCAUUAAUCACAAAGGAUACCUGAAUUCUCAAUUGAUUAGACUUCUAAUAGACCUUCGAAAAGGUUGCUUUUACUGAUCUAAUCAUAACCCCUCUUUAAAAAACCUCAAAUCCCUCAUAACUGUCACUCUUCACUUAGACCUAUUAUCAUACAUUCUCUUCUCCAAAAUUCUCCUAAGAUUUCAAGAAAUUUUCCACCAUGACAAAUCCCCAAGACAAUCCUGAAACUCCACCACCAGUCUCACCCAACACCACCUCAUCUUCCUCACCUCCUAUAGAAACCCCAAAACCUAGAUUACCUCGCCAGAAAAUGUUAGCAAGAAAAACAGUAGCAACCGGUUCCCUGAGGAGGAAUUUAAAUGAAAAAUUACAAGCAGUAAAAGAAAAGAAGUCCCAGCCAAAGAAACUGACUCGAGCUCUGAAUUCAGUCAAUAUAUCUCUGCCAGUGAAGGAGAUGAACCUGGGUAUUCUGAAAAUGACAAAGCUCUAGAAACCCAAGGAGAGGUAAACACAUGUUUUGUAUUUUCUGAUGUAGUUCAUUGGGAGGAAAACAUGUUUGUUCUGAUCGGGGUUGCUAAGGAUGUUGAAGGGGCUGAUUAUGGGAAAAUGAGGAAGAAUAAAAGAAGGAAGUGUUGGCUAUAUGUGGUAGUGGGGAAGAGGAAGGCUCGAAGUCAGGGGGAAGUGGCUUAGGAGAAGCUGCUGAGGGUUUGGUUAAUCUGAGUGAACAAAAAGAUGAACCUGGUUCAUCUACAGAAGAAACUUUGGUGUAUAUGCUGAAGAAAGUUGGGGCUAGUUAUGACCUAAAUAAAUGCAAGGCAUCCUCAAAAAGGACCCCUGCUACGUUGAAACAAACCAAGAAAAGUAAAACUUAAUCACCUAAGUCUGCUCAUAGGGUUAGAACCACAAGAAGUAGAGUUAGUAAGAGUGAAACAGAAUUGCAUAAAGCUCUAGAGGAGAGUAAGAAAAAGAGGAAAGAAAAGGGGAAGCAAAAAUAGGUGAAAGUUCUGAGGCUAUUAUUGAAGAGAAAGAGGAAGAGAUGGAAUUGGUCCAUCAAAAGAGGGAUACUACUGUGGAAGUUCCCACUGUUAAAUAAAAGGGAAACAGGUCUUCUAUCAAUAAGCCCUCUAAAUCUGUACCUGCUGAAGCCACUCUAGCCAAGAGAACUAGGUCAGCUAAAAGGGGUAAACAAGUGAAGAUAAAUAAAGAAAAAGAUGAUGAGUGGAGUGGAGAAGAAGAAGAAGAAGAAGAAGAGUCUGAACAAGAACAAGAUAGGUAUGCCAUGUUUGGCAAGAAAAAAAUCUUGAAGGGAAGACUGCUCAAAGACCUACAGGAGCCAGGCAUGAUGAGACUUAUGACUGCACUAGAAGCACAGGGGUGGAAGGACAUGGUCCUUCAGAUGGAUGGUAAAUUGGCCGGGAAAGAACUUGCUGAGUUCAUGGCAAAUGGGACAGGGAAAAAUGGACUGGUAACUAGCACAGUAAAAGGAGUGAAGGUGAAGUUCUCCAGUAAAGAACUUGUUGAGUUCAUGGCAAAUGGGACAGUGAAAAAUGGACGGGUAACUAGCACAGUGAAAGGAGUGAAGGUGAAGUUUGAUGCUGCCAAGCUGGGCAAAAUUCUGGACAUCCCUAGUGAGGGAUAUGAUGACUAUAAAAGGCAAAGAUGGCCUUUUCUGGAUAGAUUGCCUACUGAUCUUCAAAUCACUAAAAACUUAUGUGACACCAAAUCUGAUGAGGAAGUGCAUGAGGCAAGGGCUAUUCAGAAAAGUGAAAUGAGGCCAGAGCAUAAAGUGCUCUUUGAGUUUGUAAACAAAUGUCUUCUGCCCAGAUAGGAGAUGAGGCAUACAACUAACUACAUGGACCUGGUCCUCAUGCAAUGCCUUAAUGAAGGAAAGUAGAUUAGCUGGUCUGCCUUCAUUGUGAAGUUGCUGGAAAGGAUACUCAAUGGCUCAAAGGCUCAUGCCAUUCCCUAAGGAUUUAUUCUGACAACUGUGCUUAAAAGACUGAAUGUUCCCAUGAAGAAGUGGGAAAUGGCUUCCAGCAAAGAGCACUUUGGUAUCAAGACCCUCCAAGCUUGUGAUUAUCUGCUCAGUACUGACCCAGUUGAACCUGGUUCAUCAAUGAAGACUCCUGUGAACAGCAAGGUCAGAGCCUUGGUUCAGGAGGUUGGGAGAAGGGCUGCUGAGAUAGCAAGGCUUCAAGUCAGAAUUGCUGAACUAGAGGAAGAAAGAAAUGGGUUGAGAGCUGAAUUUGCAAAAGAGAAGGAGAAAAUGAAAGAAUGCUUCAACAAAUGCUUAAUAUGCUACAAACACAACCCUUCAUCUCUUCUAAGCCUUAGAUGUCGUAUCCUGUUGUGAACCAGUCUAGAACCCCCAGUGACCCAGAUUAGGGACUUUAUCUGUUUUGUUUCCUUUUGUUUUUGCUCAUGGUUGAUAGUUCUGUUUUUCUUUUUGUGGACUACAAUAUAGAAUCAUCACUUAUCAAUGCAUGCAAUGUCUUUGAUUUUUGUUAAUUAUGCUCUUAAUAGUUCUUUUUGAUAAGCUGAUUUUUAAUUAACUAAAGCAUGCUUUCACUUGAAGUUACCUCAAUGGCCAUGAGUACUCAUUAGCUUUUCGGGAUUCACAUUAUUUAUGCAACUUUUCGAUGAUGCCAAAAGGGAGAAGAUAUUGUGCUUAAAUCUAUUAUCUAAACAUGUGAUGUUUAUGACCUAAUUAAAGCUGACCCUUAAUGACAAGUUAAAUAUUUUAAGUGUUGAUAUUUCAGCUGAGUUCCACAGGUUCUCUGAUCAGAAAAAGCACAGAGUUUGUCAUCAUCAAAAAAGGGAAAUUUGUUGGCUCAAGUU
rnacentral:lncRNA from 1 species